UCUUUUUUUAUAAAAAUUCUCUUGAUUAUUGCAAUUAUGUUAAUUGUAAUUGACGUGCGUCAUUUAAUGACUCAUUGAGUAAUUUUCCGUAUAUUGAUUUUAGUUUUCCUUGUUUUCAACAUAAUUAUCAAAAAUAAUAUAAGAAAAAAUAAAAAAUUUCUUAGAUAUAAAAGCGUGAUUCAAUGAAGAAAAUUUUAUUAGUAAGGGAAAAUGCAUCUUUCAAUUAUUUUACUUUUCGCACUAUUGUGCAUGAGUUUUCUCAUAACAGAAAUUUUUGGAUGUAAAGGUACAUUAGUGGCAUGUGAUAAUAAUAACGAGUGUUGUACCAAUAUUUGUAGAAGAUUUAGUAGCACUCGCAGCUUGUGCGCAUAAUUUUGAGAAUUCAAGAUUGUAAAAAGAAAUUUACAUAUACGUAUUAGAAUCAAUUAUUAUAAAUAAAAUAAUCUCUUAACAAUUA